rnacentral:rRNA from 1 species
CCUACGGGUGGCUGCAGUGAGGAAUAUUGGUCAAUGGGCGCUAGCCUGAACCAGCCAAGUAGCGUGAAGGAUGACUGCCCUAUGGGUUGUAAACUUCUUUUAUAAAGGAAUAAAGUGAGGCACGUGUACCUUUUUGUAUGUACUUUAUGAAUAAGGCUCGGCUAACUCCGUGCCAGCAGCCGCGGUAAUACGGAGGAUCCGAGCGUUAUCCGGAUUUAUUGGGUUUAAAGGGAGCGUAGAUGGGUUGGUAAGUCAGUUGUGAAAGUUUGCGGCUCAACCGUAAAAUUGCAGUUGAUACUGGCAGUCUUGAGUACAGUAGAGGUAGGCGGAAUGCGUGGUGUAGCGGUGAAAUGCUUAGAUAUCACGAAGAACUCCGAUUGCGAAGGCAGCUUACUAGACUGCAACUGACAUUGAUGCUCGAAAGUGUGGGUAUCAAACAGGAUUAGAUACCCGUGUAGUC